rnacentral:lncRNA from 1 species
CUUAAUCUGUUCUAAGGUCUUUUAGAACAAAUGUACCUCCCACUAUUUUCUCGAAUCCCUUACACUCCCCUGGUACGAAAACGGAAAUCCUACACGACUAGGGUUUCUAGUGGGUACGGCGGUCCCACCGAUUUACAUGCCACCACACCUAACAGUUAUUGGUGACACAUAAACAGAUGAGUGUACAACUCUUGUACAAUAUUUCUUAAGCAUGUUGCAGUGCUACUUGGUCUCUAAGUCAUGAAGACCUCACCUAACAGUUAUUGGUCCCAUUUCUUAGUUAAGUCAGACCCACCGUAUAACCGUAGAAAUAAAGUCGUCAUUGGGUCCUCACCUAACAGUUAAUGGUGCCUAACCCCACCUUUACCCUACAACAUCUCAUGUCUAUAGAGAGGUCCAGUCCCCCGAUGCAACUUGCCCACUGUAUCCA